UUGCCCUAUACAGUUGCCUUUCUCUUUUUCCCUAAUAAUUUUGAUAACAAUGUGAAAUAUUUCUCUUUAUAUAUCAGGUCUUGCCCUAUGCAGAACAGCAUAACAAGACUAGCUAGCUAGAUACUUCUUCCUCUCAUCUAUUUUUCAAGAAAAUUUCAAAAACUCUUUGAUAAUGGCUCUUUCAUGUAGCUUACUGCCCAAAACCAUGGUAAAAUUUCCCAGCUUCAAGAUCAAGCCAUGUCUACUCAAGACAAUAAUAUCCAUGAGAUGCAUGACUACAACAAGGAGGCCACCACCAAGGCCAGCCAUAAAAACUAAACCACCACAAAACAAUAAUUUCAAAGACAAGAAAGAGACUCUGAUGACAGAGGAGAAAAGUAACAUAAAGCUCCAAGAAGAUAAUUCCAUGGUCAAAGCAAAUUGACCAGGAAUCCUGUUUGUUAAAUAUCAUAAUAAAUUAUUUGUACUUGGUCUAAAGGUGGUCAAAGUACAAAAUGCUUUUGUUAUUAGGGAAACUUUAGUAGCAGCAAACUGGUCCAUUAGUUUCCUACCAACAUAUGAAAACUACGUAGUAUGAUACUUUAUUUUGUAGUAGGUGCUUGCAGGUGAAAUUCACGGCACUAUUUAGCUCCUCUUUUGAAAAUAACCAAUUUUGAAAUUUAUGACAUUGAUUAUUUUUCAGAAAUAGAGCUGAAAAGUGACAAGUGAAGUGAUAUUUCUACCGUGCUUGUAUUGUCCUUGAGGUUUCUAUUUUCCUUUGGUUAUAUAUAUAUUGUAAUGUAGAACUCUACGUGUUGCUUUGAAUGUUGCAUAUAUGUACAAUGUAACUGAAGUUUAGAGUAAUUAGUUCCACAACAUGUUUUGAAGCUUUAGA